GCUCUUGUAGAUGAAACGGUACAUCACCCAUUGCGCAUGCUUGAGUGCUAGCUGUAAAAAUGGGAGGAGGAGGUUCGAAUCCCCCCAAGAGCA